rnacentral:rRNA from 1 species
UACGGAGGGUGCAAGCGUUAAUCGGAAUUACUGGGCGUAAAGCGCACGCAGGUGGCUGAGAAAGUCGAUUGUGAAAGCCCUGGGCUUAACCUGGGAAUUGCAGUCGAAACUACUCGGCUAGAGUAUGGGAGAGGGUAGUGGAAUUCCCGGUGUAGCGGUGAAAUGCGUAGAUAUCGGGGAGGAACAUCAGUGGCGAAGGCGGCUACCUGGCCCAAUACUGACACUCAGGUGCGACAGCGUGGGGAGCAAACAGG